rnacentral:rRNA from 1 species
GACGUAGGGCGCGAGCGUUGUCCGGAUUUAUUGGGCGUAAAGAGCUCGUAGGCGGUCUGUCGCGUCUGCUGUGAAAACUCGGGGCUUAACCCCGGGCCUGCAGUGGGUACGGGCAGACUAGAGUGCGGUAGGGGAGACUGGAAUUCCUGGUGUAGCGGUGAAAUGCGCAGAUAUCAGGAGGAACACCGGUGGCGAAGGCGGGUCUCUGGGCCGUAACUGACGCUGAGGAGCGAAAGCGUGGGGAGCGAAC